rnacentral:sRNA from 1 species
ACAGUGAUGAAGAGGGGUUCGACCGAUA